rnacentral:sRNA from 2 species
ACAUAGUGUGUGAAUCUGCUUAAGCGCCGCCCGCAGGGUUUUGCUCGUAGCCGGGGGCCCCCAAAUCCCCAUCCGGUCCAGAUCCGGCCGGCCCGUAACUACCGUACGCAGCCGCGGUUUUCGUUCCUUGUCCAAGUAUUAUUUAUGUUCACGAUCUGGCGUAGAUUCAAUAUCUCCCAACCACAAAAUCAUUGUAGUGAAAUCUAUAGUUAGGUGGGUAAUUUAGAAUCCCCUACCACGAGUAACUAUAUAUUUUUAAGAAAUUUAUUUGCCUUUCCUAGAGAAUUUUUAUUAUAUAUGAUGAUGUGCACUGCAUGUGUGAAAAUCACCAAUGCUAGUAGUACUGGUAUUCUUUCAGGGUUCUCAUAUUUGAAGAAACUUUUUUUUUAUCUUUGGCAUGUCCUCCUAUCCUCCUCCGUUACAAUUCAGAUAUAUACGUAGCUAUAAAAAACUCACUAACAUAGCGAUCUUAGUCUGGGUCUGAAUCAUGUACGUACUUUCAAGAAAA